CACGUAGGGUGCGAGCGUUGUCCGGAAUUAUUGGGCGUAAAGAGCUCGUAGGCGGUGUGUCGCGUCGGCCGUGAAAACCUGCAGCUUAACUGUGGGCUUGCGGUCGAUACGGGCAUCACUGGAGUUCGGCAGGGGAGACUGGAAUUCCUGGUGUAGCGGUGAAAUGCGUAGAUAUCAGGAGGAACACCUGUGGUGUAGACAGCUUACUGGACCAUCACUGACGCUGAGGUACGAAAGCGUGGGUAGCAAACAGG
rnacentral:rRNA from 1 species